UACGGAGGGGGCAAGCGUUGUUCGGAAUUACUGGGCGUAAAGGGCGCGUAGGCGGCCUGCUAAGUCGAACGUGAAAUCCCCGAGCUCAACUCGGGAACUGCGUCCGAUACUGGCAGGCUUGAAUCCGGGAGAGGGAUGCGGAAUUCCAGGUGUAGCGGUGAAAUGCGUAGAUAUCUGGAGGAACACCGGUGGCGAAGGCGGCAUCCUGGACCGGCAUUGACGCUGAGGCGCGAAAGCCAGGGGAGCAAACGGG
rnacentral:rRNA from 1 species